rnacentral:rRNA from 1 species
AUGCGCGCGCAAAGGCGGAGGCUUUGGGUCACUCACUCGGCCGGCGCCGCCGUCGCGGACGCGGCGGCCAUCCUGGGCGAGCUCACGGGGAAGAGCGGGAGGAGCCGCGGCGGCUCGGCGCCCCGCGGCGAAGGGUGGAAGAAGAAGCCCUUGUCGGCGAUGGCCGCGCGCUCGGCGGCAUCCCCCGAGGACGACGCCGGCGAGGGGAAGAAGGGGUCGCCGGUGAGCGGCGUCACCGGGCUGCUGAGCUUGAGGGACGGGAAGUCCAGGACGCUCGGGGACAGGAUCUCCGGCGCGGCGGAGGCGUUCCUCGGCGACGGCGGCGCCCCCAUGGCCAGCGGCGCGAUCAUCUUGAGGUUCUUGAGGCUGCUCCGCCGCUCGUACAGCUUGAAGGACGGCUUCUUCGGGCGGCACGGGCCGCUCCCGCUCGCCGCCUGGUUCCCGGCGCUGCCGUUGCCUGCGGCGGUCGUCGCCGCGGCGGCGUUCUUGGAGGACUGCUCGGAGCCGGUGAGCAUCUGGACGACCUGCUUGAAGGAGGUGGUGUCCGCCUGGACGAAGGUGGUGGGGAACGGGGUGGUCUCGAUGGUGCGGGGGACGGGCCUGGGUGAGGGCGGAAGGUUGUGUGGGUGUGGCGGCUGGGCGCGGUGGUAG